rnacentral:misc_RNA from 1 species
GAUGAAGAACGUAGCGAAAUGCGAUAAGUAAUGUGAAUUGCAGAAUUCAGUGAAUCAUCGAAUCUUUGAACGCGCAUUGCGCCCCUCGGUAUUCCGAGGGGCAUGCCUGUUCGAGCGUCAUUAUAACCCUUCAAGCUCAGCUUGGUGUUGGGGCCUGCUGUAACUGGUAGCCCUUAAAAUCAGUGGCAGUGCUAUUAGGCUCUAAGCGUAGUAAUUCUUCUCGCUAUAGUGUGUAGUGAGCGCUUGCCAGAACCCCAAACUUUUAUAUGAUUGACCUCGGAUCAGGUAGGGAUACCCGCUGAACUUAAGCAUAUCAAUAAGCGGAGGA